rnacentral:misc_RNA from 1 species
AAGUCGUAACAAGGUUUCCGUAGGUGAACCUGCGGAAGGAUCAUUAAAAAAAAAUACGUCGCUGGAUCCACUGUGUAUUCGUGGAUUCAGUGCUGUAUACAACCACCUGUUUACCUUUACCUGUUGCUUCCGUGGAAUUACGGGUGCUCUUCCUGUUCGCAGGCUUGAGUUACCUUCCACGGGUGUAUUUUUUAAAAACUUGUUUUGUAUUCUUGUCUGAUUUAAAUUUUUAAUAAAAGUUAAAACUUUCAACAACGGAUCUCUUGGUUCUG